GAUGAAGAACGCAGCGAAAUGCGAUAAGUAGUGUGAAUUGCAGAAUUCAGUGAAUCAUCGAAUCUUUGAACGCACAUUGCGCCCUUUGGUAUUCCUUAGGGCAUGCCUGUUCGAGCGUCAUUUAAACCUUCAAGCUCAGCUUGGUGUUGGGUGACUGCCCGCUUCACCGCGGACUCGCCUCAAAAUUAUUGGCGGCCGGUACAUUGGCUUCGAGCGCAGCAGAAACGCGAACUCGGGCCCGUCGUAUUGGCUCCCAGAAGCUAUCUUCACAAUUUUGACCUCGGAUCAGGUAGGGAUACCCGCUGAACUUAAGCAUAUCAAUAAGCGGAGGA
rnacentral:misc_RNA from 1 species